UACGGGGGGGGCGAAGCGUUGUUCGGAAUUACUGGGCGUAAAGGGCGCGUAGGCGGCCUGCUAAGUCGAACGUGAAAUCCCACGGCUCAACCGUGGAAGUGCACUCGAAACUGCAGGGCUAGAGUCCUGGAGAGGAAGGUGGAAUGCUUGGUGUAGAGGUGAAAUUCGUAGAUAUUGGGAAGAACACCGGUGGCGAAGGCGGCGACCUGGUCCAUUACUGACGCUGAGGCGCGACAGCGUGGGGAGCAAACAGG
rnacentral:rRNA from 1 species